AUUGAACGCUGGCGGCAGGCUUAACACAUGCAAGUCGAACGAGUGGCGGACGGGUGAGUAAUGUCUGGGAAACUGCCUGAUGGAGGGGGAUAACUACUGGAAACGGUAGCUAAUACCGCAUACCAUCAGAUGUGCCCAGAUGGGAUUAGCUAGUUGGUGGGGUAACGGCUCACCAGGGCGACGAUCCCUAGCUGGUCUGAGAGGAUGACCAGCCACACUGGAACGGGGCAACGGUCAAGACUCCUACGGGAGGCAGCAGGGGGGAAUAUUGCACAAUGGGGGAAAGCCUGAUGCGGCCAUGCCGGGUGUAUGAAGAAGGCCUUCGGGUUGUAAAGUACUUUCAGCGGGGAGGCGUUACCCGCAUAAGAAGCACCGGCUAACUCCGUGCCAGCAGCCGCGGUAAUAC
rnacentral:rRNA from 1 species